rnacentral:rRNA from 1 species
GACGAACGCUGGCGGCGUGCUUAACACAUGCAAGUCGAACGGAAAGGCCCUGCUUUUGGGGGGUGCUCGAGGGGCGAACGGGUGAGUAACACGUGAGUAACCUGCCCCUGACUGUGGGAUAACUUCAGGAAACUGGGGCUAAUACCGGAUAGGAGCUCCUGCUGCAUGGUGGGGGUGGGAAAGUUUCGGUGGUUGGGGAUGGACUCGCGGCUUAUCAGCUUGUUGGUGGGGUAGUGGCUGACGAAGGCUUGGGCGGGUAGCCGGCCUGAGAGGGUGACCGGCCACAUUGGGACUGAGAUACGGCCCAGACUCAUACGCGAGCCAGCAGUGGCAAAUAUUACACAAUGGGCGGAAGCCUGAUGCAGAAACACCGCGUCCGCGAUGACGGCCUUCGGGUUAUAGACCUCUUGCGCCUGUAACGAAGCGUGAGUGACGGUAAUGGGUAAAGAAGCACCGGCUAACUACGUG